CUUCACAAUUCUCUCUCAGCGUUCUUCUUUGCUCUGAGAAACGCAAAGCAAAAAGUACCAAAAUAAAAGAGGAAAGAAAAAACCCUAACCCUAGAUUUGCUGCAGGACCACAAUGGACACCGAAUCCCAUGACUCCCGUCUCAAGAACCGGCGGUCCUCCUCGCCGGAAGACGAGGCCGAGAGGUCAUCGAAGCGCCACAAGCACCGUCACCGGCACCACCACCACCGUCACCGCAGCAAGAAGCACGAAGAGAAGACCGAGCGCGAGGGUGAGGAUAUUAACCUUCCUCCUCCUCCUGUGGCUGUUAACAUUACUCGUCCUGAUGACGACGUGGAGGAGGGUGAGAUUCUCGAAGAGGAGGGUUUCGGUGGUGGCGAGAUUGAGGAGAAAAGAUUUGAUUCGGAUGAUGAGUCUGGGGAAAUCAAGUCCGUUGGUCUUCGGGACGAAUCUGAUAAGCGAAAUCUGGGACAUCUUACUGAGCAACAGUCAUCUGAUCGCGAACCUAGUGUUCAUAUGGAAGAGAGUGUAGCGAAAAAGGGUAGAAAUUCAAAGAUAUUGGCGGAGGACAAGAGCGAAGAUGAUUUGUUUACCAAUUCGAGAUUAGACAAGGAAGACAGAGCAUUCCACUGGAGUCGUACCGGUACUAAGAUUAACAAUGAGGUUGGUUCUCCAAGAAAUUCAAGUGUUGUGCCUCAAGAUGAAUUAAUUUCUACAGUUAGCUCAGAGGAUCAUGUUAAUGGGGAUUUGGGUCGCAAAUCCCGCAAAGAGGACAAGAAGAGGGAAUCUCAGUCCCCAUCUAAAGGAAGUAGCAGGCGAAAGAGGUAUUAUGAUGAUGAUAAAGAGGGGGUUGAUGGGAGCAUAUUAAGCCAUCGGAGCAAGUCGUCCUCUCAAAGCACCGGGGACCGUGGAGAAUUCCAUGCCAGGAGCAGAUCUAGGUCAAUUGAUCAUGCUAGGGAGAGAUCUCGAUCCCGUAGCAUAAGAGAAGAGGAGACCCAUUUGAAGAAAAGGCGAUAUUGUGAUAAUGCUGCCUCAUCAUAUGCUAAUAAAAGCAAGUCUUUGUAUGAAUCUGAUGAUGAAAGAAUCGUUCGACAGAGUAUGGAUGGACGACAUGGUACUAGAGAUUUGAUGAGAGAUGAAGAAAGGGAACACACUACUAGUUACAGCAGAUAUACUGGAGAGGACAGGCACCGAAAUCAGGGUACACAGGAGAGAGAGAGCAGCAGGGAUAGGGACUUAAGAAGAGAGAAGGAACGAGAAUGGAUCAUUAGGGACAGGGCUCAUAGAAGGGAGAAAGAAUGGGAAAUGAGUAGAGACAGGGACAGGAAAAGGGAGAUAGAACGUAGGAGUAGGGAAAGAGAGGUGGACAGGGAUUGGAGAAGGGAGAAGGAAAGAGAGAAGAUGAAGGACAGAGAGCUGGAUAGGGAUAGGAGCAGAGUCAGUGAAAGAGACAGAGAUAGGGAUAGAGAAAGGGAUAAGGAUAGGGAAAAAGUUAGGAGGGAGAGGGAGAGGGAGAGGGAGAGGGAGAGGCAAGAUGAUAGGAGUAUGAAUAAAGAUAGGGAGAACUUUGAAAAUCUUGUGGAUGGCUAUGAAAAUGGAGAUAGAUAUAAACAUUCUAGGCGCUUGAGACAUGAUGAAAAAGAAUACAACCAGGAUAGAACAAGAAAUGCUGAUUCAGCAAAGGCUCCUAGUUCUAAGAGUGAUUUGUUGCAAGGAAAUAGAGACAAGCCAAAAAGAGAUGAAGAUGAACAAGGAGACUACGAAGGGAAUACAUUGCAGUUUGCUGAGCAGGAAGAAGAGGAUCUCAACAGAAUCAAGGAGGAGAGUAGAAGGCGAAGGCAAGUCAUUCUAGAAAAAUAUAAGAGUCAGCAGUUACAGCAACCUAAUGAGCCACAAUCUGAAGAUGUAGAGAAAGAUAAGGAGCCUGCGCAUGAUCCUGAUCAAUCAAGUGCUAUUAAUGUUGUUUCAGAAGUUGGUGACGGUAGGAGUGAUGGUCUAGAUGUCUAUGUUGCUGAACCAUCAUUUUCUGUGGGGAAAUCACCUCCACAAAAUGGAGUUGCUGCUUUGGAGAAGACUUCCAGUGCUGGGGGGCUUGGAGAGGGUACUCCUAAGAGCGAGAGGUCAGAUGACAAGUUCUGUGAUGAUAUUUUUGGUGAGACACCAACAGGAGUCCGCAAAUCGGGUAAAGAAGAUGGUUUACGAAUUGAGAGGAGUGGUCUUCAUGACAACUGGGAUGAUGCAGAGGGGUAUUAUAGCUACCGGUUUGGUGAAGUACUUGAUGGCCGAUAUGAAGUUGUUGCUGCUCAUGGUAAAGGUGUAUUUUCUACUGUAGUUCGUGCAAAGAACCUUAAGGCUGGUAAUGGUGAACCGGAAGAAGUGGCAAUAAAAAUUAUACGUAGUAAUGACACAAUGUACAAGGCUGGUAUGGAUGAACUGGUCAUAUUAAAGAAACUAGUAGGUGCAGAUCCAGAUGACAAGCGCCAUUGCGUUCGAUUUCUUUCAAGUUUCAAGUACAGGAAUCAUCUUUGUUUAGUUUUUGAAUCUCUUCAUAUGAAUCUUCGUGAGGUUUUAAAGAAGUUUGGGCGCAAUAUUGGCCUUAAGCUAACUGCUGUUAGAGCAUAUGCGAAGCAACUUUUUAUUGCACUGAAGCAUCUUAGAAAUUGUGGUGUUCUGCAUUGUGAUAUAAAGCCGGAUAACAUGUUGGUAAAUGAGGCAAAGAAUGUGCUGAAGCUCUGUGACUUUGGCAAUGCCAUGUUUGCUGGUAAAAAUGAGGUUACGCCAUACCUUGUAAGCCGCUUUUAUCGUGCCCCUGAAAUAAUUCUUGGCUUGCCUUAUGAUCAUCCAUUGGAUAUGUGGUCUGUGGGUUGCUGUGUGUACGAGCUUUAUACAGGAAAGGUUCUUUUUCCAGGUCCUACAAACAAUGACAUGCUACGCCUUCACAUGGAAUUGAAGGGCCAUUUCCCAAAGAAGAUGCUUCGGAAGGGAGCAUUUACUGAUCAGAAUUUUGAUCAGGACUUGAAUUUUCAUGCUACAGAAGAGGAUCCUGUCACAAAAAAGACUAUAAAGCGGAUGAUUCUCAACAUAAAGCCAAAAGAUAUCGGAUCGAUUAUUACAGGCUCUCCUGGUGAGGAUCCAAAGAUGGUAGUCAAUUUUAAAGAUCUUCUAGAAAAAAUUUUCGUGUUGGAUCCAGACAAGAGGAUGACAGUGUCACAAGCAUUGACCCAUCCAUUCAUCACGGGCAAGUGAAUCAUGUUGCUGAUUUUAUGACUCCAGAAAAUGCUGUCCGCUAAAUAUUUGUACAUUAUGACCUAAUUCAUUUUCACUUUCUAAUUACUGGGCAUUAUCUGUCUUCUCUGUUAUGGCCUGAGAGCUUUCAACACAGUUUUGGCGGGGUUGAAGUCAAAAUGGGGUGAUGUUUGGUCUGGAGUACUCUUUGCUGGCGGGUUCUUUCAUGGAUUGUACUGUUUCUAUCGAUAUCUGCCACUGCUUUGAGGCAACCCUCCAGUGUUUAGAUGCUUAAAAGGCACCCAGGAGAAGGCACUUGCACUGGAGGUUUACAGCUGCUGCCAUGAUGAAAGAGAAUAUAUCGGGUAUGACCCCCAUGCUUCUGCAAUUCUUGUAAGCAUUUUGAAAUUCCAUUUUCUUGUUUAUCUUUGUCCAUUUCAAUACCAUAAUUGGUUCCUGAUGUUAGAUUUCAUGUGACUUUCAAUUUUUAUUUUAUUUUAUUUUAUUUUAUUUUAUUUUUUUUUGUGUGUGUGUGUGUGAGUUCCUUCUAGUUAUUUGUUAAGCCCCAUAGUUUGCAUUUUAUGAGCAAUAGAUUUUUAAUAUUUGUGACCUUUGCCUUGUAAUGUUAAAGCAUAAGAUUUGAUAAUUUACCCAUUAUAAGGCAAGGGAUAAGCCUUAAGGUACAAAGUGCAACCACUUUUGGUUCUACUUAUUUCUAAAAUGUGUACUAGUGAAAAUUGUAAAAAGGAGAGAAUUUUUUUUUGAUAAGUAAUAAAACUAAUCUCAUUGAAAGCUUAAAGCGCGCCCUUAAGUAUAUAAGAAUUAUACAAAAGGAACAACCUAACUAGAAUAGGCAAAACGGAAAAGAAAAACACUAAAACUAAUCGACAGAGGAAGACAUAAACGCUGCCGUCCAAAGAUUCAAAGUUUCAAAGAAUAUAGAAAUAAUUUCCCACAUAGUCCUAUCCUUGUCCUCAAAAUUUCUGUCAUUCAUUUCCCUCACGCCAAAAGAGGCACGUAGGUACCAUUUUCCACACCGCACAACUCCUGAGAAUGAUAAAAAAUUAAGAAAUAACUCAGAUUCAUACAAUUUUUUUUGAUGCGUUUUCACCAGGACAAUCUUUUCCAAGACUUUGGGGAAGUCUGUGAUAUUACCCCAUUGCAAAUAAGUUAUAGGCUUCAGUGUGAGGAAGACUAAAUUGUGCUCUAGGCCUUGCUUACUGGUCAAAAGAAGAGGUAGGCAGGUAGCAACUGAGAUUAUAAGGAUUGCUGAGCCAUUAGUAUUUGUUGGUUUAUAGGAUAAUGCUCUCCUGUACUUAAUUUGGCUUCCUUUUUGAGGAACUUAAUUGUUCUUCUAUUGUAUGAUUGAAAUAAAGGAUUGAAUGUUGUUUGAUGGUAUAACACCUUGUCCCAGAAUUGAAAUGGCUUAAAAUAGCUCAACCCAAGUCUAGCCUAAGAACUGUGUCAGUUUGAAAGAUCUCAAAUCAAGUUGAAAAUGUUGUUUGUUGGUGUCAUAACCAUUUCCCAGAACUAUUCAUCAAAAAAUAACCAUUUCCCAGAACUGAACUAGCUUAAAAUACCAGUCCAUCUCUGUACAACAAAUAUGGAAUACCAGAUAUGCUACACAAGAUAAAUAAAUAGUAUAUAUGGUAUACUCAACUGAACUCAACCACCGUUAAUAUCAUGGACACAUGAUUGAUGCCUGUGGCAAAAAAACAAGAUUUAUAAAAAUAAAUAUUCUAGUUGUAAUGAUAAUGUAAGUUUCAGUUUGUAUAGAUUUUUUUUUUCUUUCUAAUUAGUUUGUAUAGACAGUUGAAUGUACAUGUAUCUUAUUUUUGUAAAUUUUUGUCAUUCACUUUUUGUGGUUGCCAUCACGUAAUUUCAAUAUAUUCUAGUGUGUGUUUUAGUUGCAUGGUUUUCUACAUGUCUGUUCCAUUUUUCCAUGAUCGUUUAUACUGUUGUUCCUUUUUGUUUUUCUUAUGUGUUUUCAUUUUUAUUGGGAGUUGAAUUUGCUGAAUGCUUGGUACAAUGUGGGGUUAGCUACCCUACUCUUCUAGUGACUAAUUCUCUUCUGUACGUGUUAUUGGAAUUGUAUCUAUAGUAAUUUUUUAAGGUGUGGUAUCCUUGAUUAAAACGAGGUUCAUCAUCUUCCUGGACUUUCUAAACUUUUAACUCCUUGUGUAUUGAACUAAAAACAUGCUGGCAUGAAAAAAGUGACAGUGUCAUUGUCAGUUUGGACCAUUGAUGUCAGACAAAUUUGGAAACCUGCUGACUCAACCGUUGGGGUCUGAAAAUUUGUGAUUUUAGGGUGUGUUGUGGUGGUGGAAGCUGGAAAGGCUAUAGGAUUUGUAAAUUGAUUAUUUUUCGUUUGAAGGCAAUGCAGCAUACCAUGACAAGAGCGUAGUUUCCAGGAAAAUUCUGAUAGCUGUUUCUGACUAGGUGUCGAUCUUGUAUGUUUUGUGUACCUGGUUGUGCUUUUGGGCUUUUUAAUGAUGUUUCGGUUACUUAUAAAUAAAGGUUAAGGUAGGUUUAAUGGGGUAUUUAUUGGAGAAAAUGUUGGGAAUUCUUUGGAUGUACAUGUUUUAAAUGAUGCGAGACAUGAGGUGUAGUUUGAGCUGAAAAGAGGUGAGAGAAGAGCGAGUUUUAAGGGGCUGUUAUGGGCCUUAUGCCACUGAAUGGUUACUUGAGCUUUGUGAGUAUAUGAAGAGAAGAAUAGUAGUGAAAUAGAGGACGAGGGCACUGCAGUCAUGGACUGAUGGACAUGGAGACGACAGCACACAACAGGGGCACAUGUUUAUAGCAAAUCAUAGAAAGUGUGACCAACAUUGUGGUUGUGGGUGUGUCGCAAAAAUUGAAACCAACAUAUAGAAAUAAAAUUCAGAAGUUAAAAAUUAAUUAUAAUUUGAUGUUUUAGAAUUGCUCACCUUUUGAGAUAACUUUUUUUUUAAAAAUUUUUUUAUUUUUAUUUUUUAUAAGUAAUCGAGAUAUCAUUAAAAUUCUUAAGUCCUCUCCAGGUACACAAGAUGUAUACAUGAGAAAAUACCUAGCUAGAAGGAGAAAAAAGAACUAGGAAAUUAUGAUAUCACCCAAAAGAAAAACAAAAGCCACUAUCUAAAGAUACAGAGUAUAGAAAAAUAACUAAAUUUCCUCCGAAGUCCUUUUACGAUUUUCAAAACUUUUGUCAUUCUUUUCCCUCCAUGGACACCACAGAAAAGGUACGAAGGCACCAUCUUUUAUACAACAACACUUCAAGCUCUACUAGUAUUCCACAUAAGUCGACUAGACUUCUAGGCAUAACCCAAGACAACUUGAAUCGACUAAAGAAAACAUCCCUAAAGGCAUCGACAACCUCACAACGGACAAGAAGAUGGUCCACAGACUUUUCACUUAUCAACCUUGAUGACUUGUCGUUUUCUCAUAUUGUCCAUGGUAGGGAUCUUUUCUAUGGUGGCCGACCAAGCGAAAAAGGUUGCCAUCUAAGUAGUAUGCCAAACACCCUUUCAUGGAAAAUGAAAGCCAUCAUUGCGAACGAUGACACUGUAGAAGGACUCAACAAUGAACAUACCUCUUUUGGAGGGGACUCACCAAAGCUUGUCUUCAACUUCCCGUAUCGCUUUAGUUGAAUACAACAACCUGAAUAAUGAGAAAAAAAGCAUCCAUGCCCCAGUCAUGAGCCGCUCUAGCGAAACUUACAUCCAUUGAGUGGAGCCGCACGAAAGCUCCAAGUGAGUAGCAACAAAAGCUUCCUUCACAUAAGUAAUGCCAAGUAAAUCUAGAAAGGCUUCCUUAAGGGGUAAAUCCCCACACCAUAGAUCGUGCGAGAAACUAACUUUGGAGCCAUUUCCUACCUCAAUUUGGUAUGUCUAGAGAACCUUCCCGAACCCGCCUAAUAUCCUUCCAUUGACCCACUCUAUAUGUUCUAAGAGGGUCAUUGGAACACCACCCACUCCACUAGCUGCCAAAUUUAGAGACCACCACAAUUCUCCACUAAGCCAUUUUCCUAAGAGAGCUCGAUUGAGCUCCAUUAAGUUUUGGACCCCCAAUCCUUCUUCAGAGUUCAUAGAAGAAACCUUAGACCAGUUUACCAAGUGAUAUUUAAACUCUUCUCCAAGCCCACCUCAUAAGAAAUCACAUUGAAACUUUUCAGUAUGGUUUGUCACACCAGCAAACCAUAGGUAAAUUGGAAAAAAAUAAAUGGGCAUUUUAUAGUUUAUCUGCUUGAGUUAGCGAUAGCCAUUUAAUAGUUCUUUAUGUACACUAUUUAAUAUACCUGUUUGGAUAAUAUGGUCUGAAGAAUGUCUUGGAAUAUUAUAGUCUGGACAUAGUAGAUAUCAUUUAUACUUCUGUUUUCCUUUCUGUAACCUAGGUUUAGCUUUUCCAUCAUCUAAAAAAAUUAAUCCAACUGGUGCUUGUUAAAUAGAUUUUUUAGAAUGUUCUGUUAUUAUUAUUAAAUUACAGCCCUUAGUAAAAUCCUAUAUUCAAAGAUUGACCAAGAUUUUUGUGAUACUGUUUUUAACUCUAAAUGUGUCAACCCUUAAUAAAUAGCCUAUUGUUUAUGAUUGACUUUUCAAUAUUGUGCCUCCAAAUAAGCUAGAUGUCUUUGCUAUUUCCUGCUCUCUUCUGCAUUUUGCUUUGGUUGUCGCUGGUGUGUUAUGAGAGAGAGAGAGAGAGAGAGAGAGAGAGAGAGAGAGAGAGAGAGAGAGAGAGAUUGUCCUGCGGAUGUUAGAUUGUUGAUGUCCGUUCCAGCCAGCAAUUCGAACAAGUAUGAUUCAGCAAUGGCAUCACUAUUUCCAGCUUCCUCUUCUUGCUGCAAUGUGGGGACUAAUUGUGAUUCGUGACCUUGCUUAAUUCUUUCUCCUGUUGAUUAUUCACUACUAAUUGUAUCUGCUCUUGUAAGCUUUCUUGAGCCAAUAAAACACUAACUAUAUGCAUGUUUGAUGUAAUCUAUAUUUAGUGUGGAAUUACAAAAGAAGGUUUUAGUGA